rnacentral:lncRNA from 1 species
AUGUCACUUAAAUUGAAAAAACUCUCCCUAUCCCCUCGGAAAAAAGGAGGUGUGACAGCUCUGGCGACUCUGCUGGGGAAAAGAACCCAGAACUUCUAGUUCAGGGUUUAGAAUUCGAGCUUAGAAUAACUGUUAUGUUUGGCUUUCUUGUGAUUGUCUGAUAUUACGUGUUUGGGCCUAAUGUGCUAAUUGUCGCUCAUUUACCGCUUUGAUAUUAUGUGAACUGUAGAUAAACUGUUACGACACCCUUCUUCUCUCUGAGUCUUCUAAAUCUUCUGGGAAGCGCACGCUGGCGUGGCUUCUUUUCUGUUAGAGUAUCAUAUCCCUAAUUUUAGAACGAGGAUCGGAUCAGUUACAAAGCCGGAUGGCCUUUUGGUUCCCGGUACGUUCCCCCCCUCGGUUCGAGUUGUCCGCUCGGGUAAGUCAAGUCUAGAACAAUACACCUAGGAUUUAAGCAUAGAAUAACAUAGUCUCAUGCCGGAUCCCUAGUAGGAACGUUUGUUUGCAUCACGUACAUUUGACUUUGGGACUCAAUACAUGGGUUGGGUCCGUCCAGGAUAGGUGUACCCAAAUUAAAAGACCAUCCUGAUGCAUUACGUGCUACUUGUGUAUUCAUUUGCUUCGGGUUGUAUGUUGACCGACUUUUAGAAUAGGGAAAGAAAAUCAAGAAAAAAAAACAACCAGAGUAAGGUAGGUAUUUGAAACAUUUUGAAACUCUGUCAAAAUUUUGAAAAACAAAGAGAGAAAAUAAGCCAAUGUUUUCAAAAUUCAUGUUUCCCUUGUUCCGUCAAAACUGACCAAACUACGCGAGUCUGAUUCUCACCGGAUGUGAGAUACGUAGGCAAACCUCAUCAGUUCCGGACCACAAUUUUAAAAAUCCAAAAAUAUUUUUCUUUACUUCCUCCUUUAGAAAAGUCUUCCUUUGAGAACCCAUUUUUUAAAAAAUUCAAAAAUAUUUUCCUUUAAUUCCUUCUUUAGGAUUCUUUUUUUAGAAAAUCCCAAAAAUAAAAAAAAAAUAAAAAUUUUUAAACCAAAAAAAUAUUUUAUUGUAGGAGUCUUUUAUUAGAAAAAGAAAACAAAUGAAAAUCAAAAUCCAAAAAACAAAAAUAUUUUCUACAUUGUUUUUAGAAAGUCUUUCUCCCAAAAAUCCAAAAAAAAAAAAAAAUAUCAAAAGCCAAAAAAUAUUUUUCUUUCUUAUAUAGAAGUCCUUUCGGAAAAAAUUAGAAAAAAAAAAACAAAUCAAAUUCCAAAAAUAUUUUCUUUCUUCUUUAUAACUCUUUCUUUCGGAAAUAUAAAAAAUCAAAAUCCAAAAAGAGUUAGUUUAUUUACUUUAUUUCUGAUCUCCCCAAACUACGCACGAUCUAAUUCAUGUUCCCACAUGAUACGUAGGCAACCCACGUCAGGUUCGAUCGACCAAACAAAUAAAAGAAAAAUGAAAUGAUAUGAAAAUGAAAAAAAAAUAAAAAAAAUGAUGAUGAUAAUAAGGACCGACUGAGUCCAUUCUAACGUGUCUCUUAUUUUGAAUCAUAGAAGAAAAUUUGAGGUGGUCGAUUUGUGGCAAGCUGGCAAUACAAAAUCCAAACGAAAAAUGUCAUUGACAACUGACAUUGAAGUGGUUACGAGUGGUCAAGAGACUCGGGGUCAGAGGGUUCAACAAGAGUCUAUUGUGGUUGAGGAAAAUAGAAUACCGAAAUAGCAAAUGACUGAAAUGUGUCAAGGAUCGGCCAAUGGUCAAGGACCACCCCUUUCUCAUGUUUUCCCAAAAUUCACACCCAUCUCGACUAUUACCACUCCUGUCUCAUUGUCUGAUCGAUCUUAUCCAUUUGGGUUCAGUCUUUAUCCCAACUGUAUGACUACAACUGGAAAUUCUGUUGCGCGCUCCCAAAGUGUGCCAUUGGCAACCAAUCAGACAAUCACUGUUGUUAUGCCGGUUUUCACAAUCCCACAGCCAACAGUGGUAUAAAAGAAAAGUCAUGAGUCACAAUUUGCUACCCAUCACGAACAAUACCAUUCUCCUGAGUAUCACUCGUACCUAUUUGAUCUUCCUUCAAAGAUUGACAAGCCUACACGAAAGAUGGCAUAAGAAGAAAUGACCCAAAGAGUGAAAAACUUAGAACAAAAGUUGAAAAACAUACAAGGGUCGGCAGGUCAGAAGAGUAUUGCCUUCAAGGAUCUAUGUAUGUUCCCCGGUGUUCGUUUGACACUUGAUUUCAAGACUCCUAAAUUUGAAAAGUAUGAUGGACACGGAGACCCCAUAGCCCACCUAAAAAGGUAUUGCAAUCAACUAAGAGGUGUGGAGGGAAAAGAAGAACUAGUAAUGGCUUAUUUCGGGGAAAGCCUGACAGGGGUAGCCUCUGAAUGGUUUAUGGAUCAAGAAACCUCUCACUGGCAUGUCUGGGAUGACAUGGCCCAGGCCUUUGUCAAACAGUUCCAAUACAACAUCGAUAUCGCCCCAGACCGCAAUUCCCUUUCGAACCUGAAGAAGAAACCAACUGAAAGUUUCAGAGAAUAUGCCAUUAAAUGGAGAGAGCAAGCAGCUAGAGUUAAGCCACCCAUGGAUGACCACGAGCUAAUCACUAUCUUCCUUCAGGCUCAAGAGCCAGAUUAUUUUUAAAAUAUGAUGUCCGCAGUGGGCAAAUCCUUCUCGGAAGCAAUCAAAAUUGGGGAAAUGGUUGAGAAUGGCCUUAAGACAUGCAAAAUUAUAAGUCAAGCACUUCUCAAAGCUGCAACUUAGGUUGUCUAGAUUGAAUCUGAUAAUUUUAGUGACACGAAUGAGAAGGAUAAAGAAACCAUGAUGACAAUAAGGUCGAGAAGAGGUCCUAGGAGAACAUCUCAAAGGUAUGAGCAGCCUCAUCAGGUUUUCGAUGAUUCCCCUGAGCACUACUAUCCACCUUAGAACCCACAAUACUCUAUUGCUCCACUUCAGUAUGUUGUCCAGCCACCAAGACACCCUAGAAGGUGAGCACCAGCACCGCAAAAUCUCCACCAUCCUCCACAAAAUUUUCAAGUGCCCUAUAACCCACAUCCAAGCCAGGGGUAUAGAGGGGAACAACGGUUGAAAGAUAAUUUUACACCAAUAGGAGAGUCCUAUGCAAGUGUGUUUGAGAAAUUAAAGCAUUAUGACAUGAUUGUACCUAUUCCUCCAAAUUAUGUGGACCCACGUGCAAGAAGCUUUGACCCUUCUAAAAGGUGUGAAUACCAUUCUAAUGCCAGGGGCACAAUGUUAAAAGUUGUCGGGAUUUGAAAAGAGAAAUAGAAAGGAUGAUCUAGGAAAAACUGAUUGUGAUCUAAGAUAAUGACACCCAGAAUAUCACGCAGAAUCCUUUACAUGCACAUGAUGAUGCACACUUUGUGGGGAUGAUGUGUGGUGACAUGGAGUAUGAGAAUCCUCUCGGGAACUUGCCGACUGAAAUUGGAGAAGGCCAUGGUAAUUCUGAUGAGCAAAUUUGUGGCUAAAUGUCAAGCUUAGCAAUUGAAAAGUCAUUCCCUCCUCACUAGGAAAGAAUCUUGGUAGCUUGUUUUGAUAUGUUUUCUAUUAUCUGGGUUAUUUCAAGGUUGUGAUCUAGAUUUUUAUGUUUUAUUGAGUCAAACCCUUCCAUCCCUCUAUUCUGUUUGUGUGAGUCUUGUCUGUCUGUUCUGUUGCUAUUUUCAUUAUCCGGGUUAUUUUAGGGCUGUAACUCAAAUUUUAGGUUGUUUGUCUUGUUGUUAAACCCUUCCAUCCGUUAUUCAAUGAAAUACAGUUUGUCCUUAUGUCAUUCUAUGCUUAGUUAUUUCGUCGCUAGUUCUAGUGACAUGACAUACAUGCGGAAUUUUUGGUCAGAUCUUAGAAAAUUAAUUUAAUCUUGAAUCGGAUAACCAAAAAAAAGAUAUUUUUGAGGAUGAACAAAGAGUCGAAACACUUUGGAAUUAAGCUCAAGUAAGUUUUACCUUAAAAUCAUUGUGAAGAUCGGGUUUGGGAAAGAAUCAAUUGAAGUUUGUUGGAAUGUUUGACAUUAAGGGAUGGAAAGUGUCUUUCGACUACAACAAACUAAGAAGACAAACAUGUUCAUCAAUGCUGAGACCGCAAAAGAUAAUAUGUUUGGCGUUUUCGAGGCUGGGAGGCCCUUUUUGUGCUACCCAAACACUUUAUACCCUUUGUUACCCCUUUUGAGCCUGUGUUAUUUUGUUCGACCACCCUCUUUUGGAAUCAAGUUUAGAGUUAAAAGUCCAAUAAAUAAAUAAAAAAUAAAUAAAUAAAAGCCCAUGCCCCAAGAGUACAAACUGGGGCAACUCUUAGAAAGUACAAGUAAAAGAAGAAGAAGAAGAAAAGAACAGUCAAAAGCUCAUGCCCCCAGAAAAUAAAAGUUGGGACAACUUGUUUUGAAAAAAAAAAAGAAAUGGAAAAAAAGAUAGAGAUAAAAAAAAGGUUAGGUUAGAGGUUUGAACUACGUUAGACCUGAUUCCAUAAAAAAAUGAUACGUAGGCAGCCUUACAUGGUUCAGUCCAACCAAAUAAGAUUCAAAAGNNNNNNNNNNNNNNNNNNNNNNNNNAUUUUGAGUCUACUUUGAGCCUUCAUGUCAACCUUUCUUUCCAACCCUAUACCAAAAAUCCUUCCAAAAAAGACCUCCUGAUAUGCCUUCAAUAAUGCCAAGAGAAGCAUGCAAUGAGCAAAGGUUGUCACGCGACAUAAAACACUAUCAAGUUGCUCACACAAGAAAGCAAAAUAAAAAUAAAAAUAAAAGAAAAAUGAGAGAGUGUUACUAGUGAAAACCCUCACGGGCACUGUAAGACGACGGUAAGCAGAGAUGAAUAAAUGAGAGAGACUUGUUGGUGAAAACCCAUCGGGACAUCACUAGUCGAUAGUGAGUCGUGAAGCUGAUGCAAAGGAUUGGCACGAACAAGCCCGACUUCAAAGUCAUAAGAAUGGUAAAAGGGAAGAUUUGGUCAGUUUGAUAGAUCAGACCGUUAAGUCCAAAAUGCAUGUCAUGAUCAUUAAGGCUAGUUACCGCAAAAUAAGAAGAAAAAAAGAAAAGAAAGAAAAAAAAACUCUUCCUUCUGUCCUUCCGACAGGGGCAUUUCUUGUUAAUACUUGUUUGUUUUGCAUCAUUGUGUCCUUCACUCUGAGCUAGUCCUUGUCAAAACAAGCAAGAAAAGAUUUCAAAAUCUGCUACCAGCUUUUCAGUUGCACAACGCAAAUUUGACCAGCACACUCAGUUGUUACAAUCAACAUGUCUUGAGGAUUCAUGCAAAGGCUCCACCCCAAAAGACUCUUGUCAGCCUACUUGGCUAAAGCAAGCAAAGAUAACCUCGAGUUUAAUCAGGGAUCCUCUGUAGUACCGAACAAGGACUAUGAAGUGUGCACAUCGUGCAAAAGUCACUUACCAGUUGUGAUUCUCUCUGACGAACAAAUUGCUCCAAAAGCAAAAGCCAUUCAAGAUAUCAGAAAAUGUCACCCAAGUAAAGAUCUCCAGUUAGGAUAAGGCUGAUUGAGCCACAAAUACAAAUGGUGCUGGGUGUAAAGCAAUCAAGGUUGAUACAACACAAAAUUCUCUUGAAACCGACUCAAGGUGAUCGAGCAAAAGCCAAGUUGCCCAAAACUCAAGGCCAUAAACCGACCACCACUUUUAAAACUGAUAAAUUUUCUUUGUUGAAACAGGAACAAAGCAGUGCAAGGAAGUUGGUUCAAAAACAAAAAAAAAAAAAGAAGAAGAAAAGAAAGAAAAAGAAAAAAGAAGAGAGGAGCCGACAAAGGGAAGUUUCUCAAAUCUUUGCCUUUAUCUGUCUUGCUAGUGUACAUAAAAUGUUGUCAUUGCUCUUAACAUUUUUCCUCCUAGGAUAAAAAAUCCUAGUCUAAUGGAUUUUCUCCCAAUAAAAAUCUUAGUCUGAUGAAAUUUUCUCCUAAGAUAGAAAACCUAGUGUGAUGAAUUUUCUCCUAGGAUAGAAAUCUUAGUCUGAUAAAUCUUUCUCCUAAGAUAACAAAAAAAGACCUAGUCUGAUGAAAUUUCUCCUAGGAUCGAAGUCUUAGUCUUAUGAAUCAUUCUCCUAGGAUAAACAUCUUAGUCUGAUGAAUCUUUCUCCUAAAAUAAUAAAAAAGAGACAUAGUUUGAUGAAUUUUCUCCUAGGAUUGAAAUCUUAGUCUGAUGAAUCUUUCUCCUAAGAUUGAAGACCUAGUCUAAUGAACUUUCUCCUAAGACAGAAAUCUUAGUCUAAUGAAUCUUUCUCCUAAGAUUAAAACCUAGUCUGAUGAAUUUUCACCUAGGAUAAUAAGUUUAAAAAAAAGGGAAGUCUAGAAUUUUAACAAAAAAAAGGGGUCAAUUUUCAGCUUUCUUAAGUUAUCAAUCUUUAGUUUUCUUGAAAUCAGGGGUCUCGCCUAGAGAAUAGGGUCAGUUUUUAGUUUAGUCAAUCUUAGUUUUAUAGUUUUCCGCAAGCUCAAUCUCAAAUCUAGGAAAUACACUUCCUAGUUUGGUUUUUCAGAUUUUUAUUUCUUUAGGAGACACACUUCCUAAUUUGGUUCAUUCAAGUUUCACCCCUAGGAGAUGCAUUUCCUAGUCUGGGACAUUCAGGUUUUUUUUGGUUUUACUCACAAGAGGUGCACAUCCUAGUCGAGUCUUCAAUUUUACUCUCAUCAUUACAUCCUUCAUCAAUAGCAUAGGUGAUUUAUAGUUCUGCUAAUAACUCACAAAUCUUCCUAGUGUAAAUUGGGGCAGAAAAAGUUUCUUUUGUUGUUUCCGUUUUGCUGUAGUGGCAGGCGCCCACCUGGAGAACGAGGAAAUUUAUUUCAGUGUUAAGUCAAUAUCAGGCACCCACCUAGAAAAUGAGGGAAUUCAUUUCAGUGUUAAGUUAACAUCAGACACCCACCUGAAAAACGAGGGAAUUCAUUUCAGGUUUUAAGUCAGCAUCAGAUACCCACCUGGAGAAUGAGGAAAUUCAUUUCGAGUGUUAAGUCAACAUCAGGCACCCACCUAGAAAACGAGGGAGUUUAUUUCAAGUUUUUAAGUCAGCAGACGCCCACCUGGAGAACGAGGGAAUUUAUUUCAAGUUUUAAGUCAACAUCAGCCGCCCCUUGGAGAACGAGGACAUUCAUUUUAGGUUUUAAGUCAGCAUCAGGCGCUCACCUGGAGAACGAGGGAAUUCAUUUAAGGUUUUAAGUCAGCAUCAGGCACCCACCUGGAGAAUGAGGGAAUUUAUUUCAAGUUCAAGUUAGAGAGACAUCAAGAGCCCGCCUGAAGAACAUGGUCAACUUUCGAUUUUCAAGUUCAAGUCAGAGACAGCAGGAUCCCGCCUGAAGAAUAAGGUCAAUCUCCAGUUUUUCAAUUCAAAUCAGAAGUAGCGCGAGCCGCCUGAAGAACAAGGUUGCAAGCUCAAGUCUACCGCAGUUUAAGUCUAUUUCAAGUGCAAGCAGCAGGGUGCCCGCCUGAAGAAUAGGGUCAACUUCCAGUUUAUUUCAAUUUUCAAGUCAUUGGAAGACGCCCACCUGGAGAAUGAGGGAAUUCAUUUCAAAUUUAAAGUCAGUUGCAGGCGCCCGCCUGAAGAACGAGGGAAGUCAUUUCAGAAUUCAAUUCAAGUUAGAAGUACAGAAGCUCGCCUCAAAAAUGUAAGUCGACAGUCCGAGAUGACCAAAAGAAGAAAUCUCAAUCCAGAAUAAAAGAAAAAAAGAAGAAGUGAAUUUAAAAUACAAAAGUAGAUGAAAAUAUAUAGGCUGCUCAAGAUAUGGCUGAAGUCACAAGCUUUGCAUGUCCUGUCUUGAUCCGAAAAGUUGAAGAAGAAAGAACUAGCACCUGCAGCUAGCAAGCAUCAAGGUUCAAAUCAAAAGUCUGCAUAAAGAAUCAUUCAAGACUCAAGAUCAAGUUUCAGAAGACUCAUAGAUAGGAAUCUUGUAACUCGUAGCUGAUAGGCUUAGUUAGUUUCUUUUUCAUUUUGACUUUGGUGUAAUAGGGAGCUCAGCAAUAAAAAGCAGCAGCAGCAGUGAAAUCACAGCGUCUCAGUAGUCCCAACUACCAAAACUUCCAGAACUACACUGACCUGAUUCCUUUAUAGCCAAGGAUAUGUAGGCAAUCUCCGAAGUAAGGUUCGGUCGAACUUUUCCAAAAUGCUUCCCAUGGAGUAUGAAACGGGCAAAAAUUAUUCAUGAUUGCUCACUUUAUCUUUGCCCGAAAACUCUUUGUGUUCCCGAGCAAAGAGGGGCAGCUGUGAGCACCUGAUUUUUGUCCCACAUAUGAAAUUACUCCUAAAAAAUAAUCCAAAAAUAAUUUUAAUUAUUUUAUGAACUUUAGAAGUUUUUCUUUAUUUGUUUUGCAUUUAUUCGCAUUAUUUAUGCAUGUUAGGAAUAUCGUAAAUCAUAAAAAUCAUAAAAAUAUUCAAAUCUUAAUUUUAUAGCAUUUUAUUUUUUAAAUUGCAUUUUUAGGAUUUAAUUACAUUGUUAAAAGCAUUAUUUAAAUAUCUAAAAACCAAAAAAAAUACAUUCUUAUACUAGUUAAUUAAUUAGGUCAUUAGUCAAUUAAGGAAUAAAAUAUAUAUAAUAGUUUAGCCACACAAAUUAGUUUAGUCAAGCCCAUCCCUUUAGAAUCCCAAUUUCCAUUACCCGCCUGGCCAAACCGGAACCCCUCUUCUCUUUAAAACACCCAUUUUCCCAAACCCUAAAGAGGAGACUAGAAGAACAACACAAUCGGACCCCCUUUCCUAAAAACCCUACCCGCCCCAUCUCUCAUCUUCUCUCUCACGACCCCCCUCCCUCGAUUCCCAUCGGAAAACAAACUCACCAUCACACUCACACGAAGAUGAAGGCUCACCUACUCAUGAUUUGAACACAAAUGGAUGAAACAAAGCUGGAUAAUUCGAAUGAAGAUCUUAAAAUCACAAAGCUUGAAAAACAAAGGAAGAACAAUAGAGUUUGGUAGAUUACUUCGUAUUUUGGAUUCGAACAAUUUAAAAUCGAAGCUGUGUUUGUUUGCUGCUGAUUUCGAAUUGAUUCGUCUGGGUUUCGAAUUUUUCUUCCUCCGAUUUGGGACUGCUAUUUGCUGAACUUCAUCUUCUGUUCAGACCUUAUCUUGUUUUGAUCGAUGUUUAGUACACUUGGUUGAUAUUUUCUGGGAUUUCAAAGGGAUUUGAGCUAUAGAACGGCUAUCUGUUUGAUUGGGAUCUGCUGUUCUACUGAAAUUACUGCCAUUUCUUCACUUCUCCACUGUUUUCUUUUCUUCCUUACUCAUUUUUUUUCAAGGUAUUCCUUAAACUUUGAUCUUAUAAUUAUGUGUAAAUCCAUGGACCGUGCUUAUUAUAGAUUGAAUGUUAUUGAAAUAAGUUAUGUAUAUGCAUCCUUGUUGAAAUUAAUGGUUUAUUAUGAUUAAAUGUGCUAUAAGUUUGUUUCAAUGUGAAAUUCAGCUUAGUGAGGAUCAUUUUGUUCUGUUUGUUCCUUUGGAUCAUGCAUAUAGAGUGGUUGAUUGCACAAUUUUUUUUAUUUAUUGCGAGACCAUUUUUGUGCUCACAAGUGACCUGUUAAAGGUUCAUUUUGAGUAUGUUAAGUAAAUAUGGUCCAUCAAUUUCAAGGUCCAUCAUAAACCUGUUCUCACCUUAAUGUUGGAUAAUGGCAUGAAAAAGCUAAUCUCCUUAGUAUUAAUUUGUUGAAAUAUGUAGUUAGUUUAUUUUGUGGUUUAUUUUGUUUUGUCAUCUACUGUGUAAUCCCAAAUGUGUGGGCACCAAUGGAAUUUCCAGCCGUGAAUCGAAGAACCAGAAUCAUCACAAGCCUUUGAAUUAAUUUGAACGUACUAAGAAUUCUUUAAUCAUAUGAAUAGAUCAAACAUUAACUCCAACACUUCUUUUGUCGUACUGUGCCGUCCUCAAUAAUCUUAAAGUAGGAAGAGCAAUUUUGAACAUCGUAACUUGUUUUAGGCGCGAUUAAUAAAUCAUCGUGGCCAUGGGUACGGUUCCCGUGGCAUGAUCACGAUACGUAAAUCCCAAUUUGAGUGUGCAUUUCACGUGACUCGACCAGAACUUUAAAUAAUAAUAAAAGUUUACAUGUUGUAAAUCGUGGGUACGUUUCACGUGGCGCGAUUCGCAAUGUGUACAAAAAUAAACGAGCGCGCGACAUCGCGACUUGUUCAAACAAAAUUUCAUAAAUAUUAAAAGCAGUUAAAAGAUAAAAAUCCACAAUAGGUUUCAAAUAUAUAUAAAUCAGAUAAUUAGGCCAAUUAUUACUAGUUAAGCGACCGUGCUAAAACCACAGAACUCGGGAGUGCCUCAUACCUUCUCCCGGGUUAAUAGAAUUCCUUACACGGUCUUCUGUGUUCGCAAACCAAAAAAUAGAGUCACAUUUCCUCGAUUUGGGAUUUAAAAUAAACCGGUGACUUGAGACACCAUAACUUAUUCCAAGUGGCGACUCUGAAUAAAUAAAUAAUUCCAUUUCGAUUAAUGUCACUUAAAUUGAAAAAACUCUCUCUAUCCCCUCGGAAAAAAGGAGGUGUGACACUCGUCAUCCUCGAUUUUGUAAAAAUCAAAAUAACGCUCUGCUUGGAAUAUCCAAGCCUCUGGGUUCUCACCAUGAAACCUUCCAAUCUCCACCGAUGCACGCUUGUGCCUGAAAGUUUCUGGUACCGGUCCUUGGCGAACAACGUCCAGUGCUUGUUCACGUCGAUUAAUCCUUGCCGGUGCUUUGGUUGCGACCAUGUCCAUCAUGAUGUCACGCAUCUCUGAAAGUUGUUUAGUGAAUGAAUCCUUUACCUCCUGAAUCGAACCCCGAAUUGAGUCAUUAAUGAACACCUUGAGUAUUUGUUGGUCCUCCAUUAGAGACCUCUGGAUGAAAGCACCAAUGGAAUAACCCGAUAAACACUAAGAAUCACUGAUUGUAUUACUCAAUCCAAUCCGCAAUUACAACAACCCAAAUAGAGAUAUAACAGUACUAAGCUAGACUUAACAGAGAAAUGGAUGAGGAGAGAAAUUACAGAGCAAAGGGGAUGAGAAGAGAAUUUGCAGAGCAUAAGGGUAUGGGAAAGAGAUACUUAAUGCACCAGAAAAUUCCU